rnacentral:rRNA from 1 species
GACGAACGCUGGCGGCGUGCUUAACACAUGCAAGUCGAACGAUGAAGCCUAACUUGCUAGGUCGAUUGGUGGCGAACGGGUGAGUAACACGUGACUAACCUGCCCCUUUCUCUGGGAUAACGCUCCGAAAGGAGUGCUAAUACCGGAUACUCACACCGAGGCACAUGCCUUGGUGUGGAAAGUUUUUCGGAAAGGGAUGGAGUCGCGGCCUAUCAGCUUGUUGGUGAGGUAACGGCUCACCAAGGCGACGACGGGUAGCCGGCCUGAGAGGGCGACCGGCCACACUGGGACUGAGACAAGGCCCAGACUCCUACGGGAGGCAGCAGUGGGGAAUAUUGCACAAUGGGCGCAAGCCUGAUGCAGCGACGCCGCGUGAGGGAUGAAGGUCUUCGGAUUGUAAACCUCUUUCAGUAGGGACGAAGCGAAAGUGACGGUACCUAAAGAAGAAGCACCGGCUAACUACGUGCCAGCAGCCGCAGUAA